rnacentral:rRNA from 2 species
UGGGGAAUAUUGCACAAUGGAGGAAACUCUGAUGCAGCGACGCCGCGUGAGUGAAGAAGUAUUUCGGUAUGUAAAGCUCUAUCAGCAGGGAAGAAAAUGACGGUACCUGACUAAGAAGCACCGGCUAAAUACGUGCCAGCAGCCGCGGUAAUACGUAUGGUGCAAGCGUUAUCCGGAUUUACUGGGUGUAAAGGGAGCGUAGGUGGCAAGGCAAGCCAGAAGUGAAAACCCGGGGCUCAACCGCGGGAUUGCUUUUGGAACUGUCAUGCUAGAGUGCAGGAGGGGUGAGCGGAAUUCCUAGUGUAGCGGUGAAAUGCGUAGAUAUUAGGAGGAACACCGGAGGCGAAGGCGGCUCACUGGACUGUAACUGACACUGAGGCUCGAAAGCGUGGGGAGCAAACA